rnacentral:rRNA from 1 species
CCCGCUGAACUUAAGCAUAUCAAUAAGCGGAGGAAAAGAAACUAACAAGGAUUCCCCUAGUAACGGCGAGUGAAGCGGGAAGAGCUCAAAUUUAAAAUCUGGCUGGCUUUGGUUGCCCGAGUUGUAGUCUAGAGAAGCGUUUUCCGUGCUGGCUGAGGCCCAAGUCUCCUGGUACAGGGCAUCAUAGAGGGUGAGAAUCCCGUCCAUGGUCUCAAGCCUUUCAUUUUGUGAUACGUUUUCUAAGAGUCAGGUUGUUUGGGAAUGCAGCCUAAAAUGGGUGGUAAAUUUCAUCUAAAGCUAAAUAUUGGCGAGAGACCGAUAGCGAACAAGUACCGUGAGGGAAAGAUGAAAAGAACUUUGAAAAGAGAGUUAAAAAGUACGUGAAAUUGUUGAAAGGGAACCGUUUGAAGCCAGUCUUGCUUGCUUGUGAUCAAUCUUUGCUUCGGCUUGGAUGCACUCUCAGGUUAUGCAGGUCAACGUCAGUUUGAGAGGUGGGAAAAAAGCUUGAGGAAUGUGGCCUUCGGGUGUUAUAGCCUCUUGCUAAAUACCAUCUUUUGGACUGAGGCUCGCAGCAAAAAUGUGGGCAGGUUUGCGUUUGAGGUGAUACAUUAUUAAGACAGCUUGCUGACUUAGUUUUGUCUAUCUUCACUGUAAGCUUCGCUUCUAAUUUGCUUAGGUCGUUGACAUAAUGGCUUUAAAUGACCCGUCUUGAAACACGG